rnacentral:lncRNA from 1 species
UUGGUACUAACCAAACCCAAACAGAGAAGUCAAAGAACAGCAUUAAACUACAGACUGGUGGUGUUGCUACAACCCAUGACUUAAUCGGGUAUGUGAUAUUUCUUCUUAAAGGAUGAGCUGUUGGAUUCAGAAUACUCAGUGGGACUUUCAGUGCUACACACACAAAAAAACAGAAAUAGCAUCCUGGGGAUCUGGAGAACAGCUGGAAGACAACCACCUUGCUAACUUUAAUAUCAGAUGGCAAACAAUCCAGGCGUCUCCUUUGCCUGUGUUUCCUGUAGGACCUGGUGUUUUCCACUCCCCAGAAUUCGUAGCCCCACAUUACCCUGGAACAAAGUGAGUUCACUGUAAUAUGUAAACACAAAUUUAAUAAGGCUUGUAACCUUGCUGUGGUACCAAAUGUAAAGGGUUCUUAUUACUUUUCUUUUUUACAUACAGUGUUAUUAUAACACAUUUUUCCAUUAAUACAUGUGGAGCAGAACUUAGGAGGUCUUCCUCAAGAAACUAUUUCCUCAAGAAACUAUUCCUUUAUUUCUGUCCACAUCAUUUGUUUUUUUAAACCUUGCUUCAAUAAAUAAGGC